rnacentral:rRNA from 1 species
UUGUGCUAAGGUAGCAUAAUCAUUUGUCUUUUAAUUAAAGACUAGAACAAAAGAUUGAACAUUUUAAUUAAUAUAUUAAAAUUAAUUAAUUUAAUUUAUUUAAAAUGUAAAAAAACAUUUAUAAAUUAGGAAGACGAUAAGACCCUAUUAAACUUAACUAAAGUUAAACUGGGGCAGUUAAUCAAUUAUUACUUUAAUUUCAAUAAUAAAAUAAAUAGAUCCUAUAAAAUAGAUUAAAUGAUCAAGUUACUAUAGGGAUAACAGCGUAAUAUUAAUUUAAAGAUCUUAUUAAAAUAAAAGAUUACGACCUCGAUGUUGAAUUAAUAACCUAUAUUGUUGCAAUAAACAAUUAAA